CAUCUGACCAAUUCUUCACACUCAUUAACUCGUGCAUGAAGUUGCUGAAUAUUUAGUACUCAAUUUUAAACUUGGUAGCUUUUGUAUUGUGUUAGUUGAACUACUCCAAUGUACUUAUAAGGGAGGCGAGUAUAUAUAGUUAUCGUUGUAUAGCCCACACUGGCUCGAUCAAACGUUCAAAUAAUAUCAAAGCUUCACUUCGUGUUUGUGUUUUAAUUUCUCUAAAUAAAUUUUUGUCGUUGAUCCAUAAAAAGAAAAUAGAAAGAGUGUUUGUUAGCGUAGAAAUAGCAUCAGUAAGAUCCUUGAUGUUGUUUAAUUGGAAAACUAUUUUCCUGGCCAAGACCUUUGGGGUAGGUAUCGGUCCUCUUCUCUUGCGGGCCAAUGUGUCGCCUAGUAAUGUCAUCAAUCAAUCUUAGCACAUGCAAAGAUCUCGCCCCCUUUUGUCUCUCUGACACAAGAAUCAGAAUACUCAAAAUAACAUUUUAGAGAGAAUCUACGGAAAGGGAACAAGUGUGAAA
rnacentral:lncRNA from 1 species